rnacentral:rRNA from 1 species
GACGAACGCUGGCGGCGUGCUUAACACAUGCAAGUCGAACGUGAUUUUUGUGGAAAUUCUUUCGGGAAUGGAAAUGAAAUGAAAGUGGCGAACGGGUGAGUAACACGUGAGCAACCUACCUUACACAGGGGGAUAGCCGCUGGAAACGACGAUUAAUACCGCAUGAGACUACAGAAUCGCAUGAUAUAGGGGUCAAAGAUUUAUCGGUGUAAGAAGGGCUCGCGUCUGAUUAGCUAGUUGGAAGGGUAAAGGCCUACCAAGGCGACGAUCAGUAGCCGGUCUGAGAGGAUGAACGGCCACAUUGGAGCUGAGACACGGUCCAAACUCCUACGGGAGGCAGCAGUGGGGAAUAUUGCACAAUGGGGGGAACCCUGAUGCAGCGACGCCGCGUGAGCGAGGAAGGUUUUCGAAUCGUAAAGCUCUGUCCUAUGAGAAGAUAAUGACGGUAUCAUAGGAGGAAGCCCCGGCUAAAUACGUG